rnacentral:rRNA from 1 species
GACGAACGCUGGCGGCGUGCUUAGCACAUGCAAGUCGAACGGAAAGGCCCUGCUUUUGUGGGGUGCUCGAGUGGCGAACGGGUGAGUAACACGUGAGUAACCUGCCCUUGACUUUGGGAUAACUUCAGGAAACUGGGGCUAAUAUCGGAUAGGAGCUCCUGCUGCAUGGUGGGGGUUGGAAAGUUUCGGCGGUUGGGGAUGGACUCGCGGCUUAUCAGCUUGUUGGUGGGGUAGUGGCUUACCAAGGCUUUGACGGGUAGCCGGCCUGAGAGGGUGACCGGCCACAUUGGGACUGAGAUACGGCCCAGACUCCUACGGGAGGCAGCAGUGGGGAAUAUUGCACAAUGGGCGGAAGCCUGAUGCAGCAACGCCGCGUGCGGGAUGACGGCCUUCGGGUUGUAAACCGCUUUCGCCUGUGACGAAGCGUGAGUGACGGUAAUGGGUAAAGAAGCACCGGCUAACUACGUG